AUCUGUAAUCCCAGCCAUAAGGGGAUAUUGAGGCUGACAGUUCCCUUGAGCUUGGGAACUCUGAGCUGUAAUGGGCCGUGCCAAUGAGCUAGGCACACUAAGGUCAGAAUUAAUAUGGUGGGCCCUUGUAAGUGGGAAUACCACCAAUUUGCCUAAGAAGGGGUGAACUGUCCCAGGUUGGACACAGAACUGCUCAAAGUUUGCGUGCCAAUCAGUAAUGGGAUAGGGCCUGUGAAUAGUCUUUGUACUUCCAGCCUAAGUGAUACAGGGAAGCAAUUUUAAA
rnacentral:SRP_RNA from 1 species